rnacentral:rRNA from 1 species
AUACGUAGGGUGCGAGCGUUGUCCGGAAUUACUGGGCGUAAAGAGCUCGUAGGUGGUUUGUCGCGUCGUUUGUGUAAGUCCACAGCUUAACUGUGGGACUGCAGGCGAUACGGGCAUAACUUGAGUGCUGUAGGGGAGACUGGAAUUCCUGGUGUAGCGGUGAAAUGCGCAGAUAUCAGGAGGAACACCGAUGGCGAAGGCAGGUCUCUGGGCAGUAACUGACGCUGAGGAGCGAAAGCAUGGGUAGCGAACAGGAUUAGAUACCCUGGUAGUCCAUGCCGUAAACGGUGGGCGCUAGGUGUGAGUCCCUUCCACGGGAUUUGUGCCGUAGCUAACGCAUUAAGCGCCCCGCCUGGGGAGUACGGCCGCAAGGCUAAA